GUCCUUUUUCACCAUUUCCAAUCUCCUCAAGCUCAAAAACAUCAAAUUUUCCAUUGAUUCCUAGUGAAAUCAAUAGAGCAACCUCAUAGCAAGCUAAGUUUCUUGUAAAGUUAGUUAGUGUUCACAUUUAUGGAGAGAAAAAAGUGAAGUUAGGGAUUUAAGUAAAAGUUCAAGGUAAGGAUGAUGAAGUUUCUUUAAGGAUUUUAUGUUUAUUUCAUUAAAGGUGCAUGGAAAUGAUGCGUGAUUGUGGGUUUGAAAUUAAAUAUUGUAUGUGUGUGAUAUGUUAGUGAAGAGAAAAAGAAGAGAGGUGAUUAACAAGGUCUUUAUAAGGGGAAAGAAGUAGCA
rnacentral:lncRNA from 1 species